rnacentral:lncRNA from 1 species
UCACCCCUGAGUGUGUCAAAAACAACCUGGUGCCUCAAUUUAUCCUGCAAAUAGGAACAUACAAUUGCCACAAUGACCAUCACAGAAGAGGAUUGCCGGAUUGAACUGAGUUGAAAUGUGGUUGGUUCAACUGGCUCAUUGUUUUCAUUUUUAUUAAUUACUUGUUUAUUAAGUCAUUUGGUUCAAGCGGUUGGAUUGAAUCAAUUAAACCAUAAAUAAAGGUUUACUGAUUCGAUCUCUAGUUGCCAAUAAGAAGUAAUCUGCAAAUCAAAAAAUCUGAAAUGAAAAUCUAAAAACCAAAUUGGAGAUAUAAAGAGAUGCAAGAAGAGAACUACCUCUUAUAACAGAUGAUNNNNNNNNNNNNNNNNNNNNNNNNNNNNNNNNNNNNNNNNNNNNNNNAAAAACACAAUCUCAUCAAAUGUUAGAAAAUAAAUCAUCAAAUAAUCUAGAAAUUUCAAAUCUUCUAGGGUUGAUUCCUCUUACCUACAAUAGCUUUGCUUGCACAAGAAGCUGUAUAGCAGGCCUGCAUAUCAAGGUCAAAUAAUAAAGCAGCACACAUCACUAACAUGUUUUGGUAACUUGAUUCAUUAGCUUAACAUGAAUAAUUGAACAUAAGGACUCAUUCUAUAUACUAAACGAUUAAAUGCAUGCUUUGGGUUUGUAUAACAUCUAAGCUGAAAGACAUACCGAGAAAGAUUGUUUCUGGAAAAUAUGUAAGCUGCAUUUACAGAUGAUGCAGUACCAAUUUUAUAAGAACCUGAAAUGGAUGAACACGUGGACUUUCCAAUUAGAAGCAGACAAUGUAGGAAAAGCUAAGUAGGAAUUAAUCCUUAAAGGAAGAAAACAAUAUAUAUCAUUCAGCCUAUCAGUUGCAUCUGAACUAUACAGAAAAUGACUAAACAACGGAGGGGGAAAUUAAAAGUUAAAGUUUCGUAGCUUGAAUUUUGUCACCCUAAAAUAAGUGUGUUUAGGAUAUGAAGUUCAAAAUAAAAGCAUCAAACCAUAUACCACAUUUCAGAAAAUGCAAAUUAAAUGGUGACUACCAUACUUGAUGAUCUAUAACUCUCGCACUUCUGGUGCAGAAUCCUCCUUCUGUGGCCAAUGCAUGUCCAUAGCAGCAGUUAUAAGAUCUAAUUUCUCAACCUGCAGCACACUACAACAAAUCACAAAUAGCGGUAGAAAUUUGAAUGUACGAACAAUAGAUCUGGUACAAGUGUAUGCACCCACACCCAAACAAAAAUUGCAGUGCAUACUGGAAUUCCAUAGUGAGGCCUCUUCCAGAACUUCCAAAAAUAAUCCAACAACUGAAUAAUUAAGACAUAAAAAUUAACUGGGAAAGAACAUGUGUAUUGUUAGGAGUUUGUGUGAUAUAAUUAAGACAUGUGUGAAUAAUCCAACAAAUAAUUAAGAACAUGUGUAUUGUUAGGAGUUUGUGUGAUAUAACUGGGAAAGUUGAAUUCAUAAUCUCUUUACUUAAACAUUGGAUAUGUGCAAUUCAUUGUUUUCACUUCUCUAUCUAUCAUAUUGCUGUGUCCAAAACCAAAAUCCAAUAGUUAUAAGUGAUAUAUAUUAUUUAUGAAUUGCAUAUCAUACAUCUCUUUUGUAUAUUUACACAUCUAUGAAAAACAAAUUGAUGAAGAUAAGAAAAUACUGACCAGCAUCAGGAAGGCAAUCUUUACGCAAAACAAAUGUCCUCUUCUUUUCAUGAUCAAUAAUUGCAAAAAAAAACUGACACAUAGCUACAUCAUCAUUGGCUACACACAUGUGAAUAGAAUAAGUCAAGUAUUAGAAUUAGAACAAUACACAUGUUCUUUUUUGCAUAUAAACUAAAUGACUUUAUGUUUAGAAUACUGCAUUUGCUUACUUACUGAUGUUAUAGAUGGAUGUUAUUCUAUUAGUUUCAACUUUCAAAUUAGUACUACCUGCAAGCAGAAUACUAAAAUAAGUCUGCAUCCUCUUGAAUACAUCACAAGAAACAGGUUAAAGCAUAUAAUAAUACCUCAUCCUCAGUUUCUACCUGAAUUCAAAAGAUUCAUCACAUUAAUGGAAAGUGUAGGAAAUGAGGGAGCCUACAAAAUUGAUAGAAAUCAAGAAAUACCACUCAAACUCCAAAGUAAAAGAGAAAAGAGUACAUGAUUCAACAUUGUUUACUUGAACAAAAGGAACAUCAAAAUGGGCAAAUACUCCUUCAAAAUCAUUUGGUGAUGAACCAUACCUGUGAUUGAUGCUUAUUAGUUUUAGGUAUCAGCUGGCUAAAUAUAAAAUACACAUUUGUAACCCAAAAAGAACAUGAGUCGUGAAAGUGCAAUUCAAUGAGGCAAUCAAUCAAACUUGUAAAAGGAGAAUUAAUUAAAGCUGUAAAAUGUACACAAAAAGUAGUAAAAUAAUAAAAUAAAUGCAUCGAAGAAUGAGAAAAUAACUCACUUCAACAUAUGAGAAUUAUUUCUAUCUUCCAUUCCUCUCAUCAGUCUUGAAUGUAUAAGGUUUUUCUAGGCCAGCCUCAUUAUANNNNN